rnacentral:rRNA from 1 species
UACAGAGGUCUCAAGCGUUGUUCGGAUUCAUUGGGCGUAAAGGGUGCGUAGGUGGCGCGGUAAGUCGGGGGUGAAAUCUCGGAGCUUAACUCCGAAAUUGCAUUCGAUACUGCCGUGCUCGAGGACUGGAGAGGAGACUGGAAUUCAUGGUGUAGCAGUGAAAUGCGUAGAGAUCAUGAGGAAGACCAGUGGCGAAGGCGGGUCUCUGGACAGUUCCUGACACUGAGGCACGAAGGUCAGGGGAGCAAACGGG